UCGCACAUAGUCCACAUCCUCUGAGAUAAUUCAAGACCGUCCUUAGUUUUCAUAGGUUAUAGGCCCAAACCCCGAUGAAGAUCGGAACUGUUGUAAUAACCACAGCUAAUGAGAGGUACUUACUCAAAAGAAUUGGCAGCCGACAUAGAACUACAGUGGCACCGUACGAACAGGUACGAACCUGGCCUGAUACGGAAAUUCUAUAAGGUGGUGUUGAAAACUAAAUUGACAUACAUUUAGGUUAUGUGUGAAGCAGUCUGCUCCAUCUACAAUUAAAUCUGAAAGAGUCUAUAUCUGAAAAACUAAAAUGAUGUUCACCAUUACAUUUAUGCAGCUGUGUUUAUCAAUGUUCUAAUACAUCUGAAAUCUGAAGCAAAAUAUUUAAGAUGUGGUGAAGCACCCCCACAUAAUAAUGUCACAUGUCGCAAUACUGUGAAACUCGGAAAAGUACCUCACCCUUGCUGUAUUUUCAUCCAUUAUUUCUCUCUUAUUCUUCGUAUGCAAUAGACAGAAUUUGACAACUUCUAUUUGCUAAAUUAUUUAUAUGCUGAAUCCAUAACAUGGCACUGUCCAGAGUAAAUCCUAAAAUCUGUAUGGUCUCAGGACUGGACUUAAGUCUUUUGGAGAGGAAAAUAUUCUGGGUCUUUCCUGUAUUCAGUCUUAAACCAUUAGUCUAUGGUUAUUACAUAUAUCAACAUUAUUUUUUUUGUAAAUUGGUAUAUUAUUUUUUAUUUUAAUUCACUUGGAAAGAUUCCUUAAUUGAAACAAUCAUUUAUUAGCAUUUAUUACAUCACACAACGGAAAAAUGAUUUCGCUUUCAACUGCCAUGAGUA